rnacentral:tRNA from 1 species
CGGAGAGUAGUUCAGAUGGCUAGAACGUACGCUUUGGGAGCGUAAGGUCGCAGGUUCGAGUCCUGUCUCUCCGA